rnacentral:rRNA from 1 species
AGUGAACGCUGGCGGUAGGCCUAACACAUGCAAGUCGAACGGCAGCACAGUAAGAGCUUGCUCGUACGGGUGGCGAGUGGCGGACGGGUGAGGAAUACAUCGGAAUCUACUUUUUCGUGGGUGAUAACGUAGGGAAACUUACGCUAAUACCGCAUACGACCUACGGGUGAAAUCAGGGGAUCUUCGGACCUUGCGCGAUUGAAUGAGCCGAUGUCGGAUUAGCUAGUUGGCGGGGUAAAGGCCCACCAAGCCGACGAUCCGUAGCUGGUCUGAGAGGAUGAUCAGCCACACUGGAACUGAGACACGGUCCAGACUCCUACGGGAGGCAGCAGUGGGGAAUAUUGGACAAUGGGCGCAAGCCUGAUCCAGCCAUACCGCGUGGGUGAAGAAGGCCUUCGGGUUGUAAAGCCCUUUUGUUGGGAAAGAAAAGCAGCAGGUUAAUACCCCGCUGUUCUGACGGUACCCAAAGAAUAAGCACCGGCUAACUUCGUG